rnacentral:tRNA from 1 species
GGUAGGAUGGCUGAGCAUAGGCGGUAAACUGUAAAUUUAUUAAGGAGAGGAUAUCUCUUCUACCA